CAGUAGCCGCGGUAAUACGUAGGUCCCGAGCGUUGUCCGGAUUAUUGGGCGUAAAGGGAGCGCAGGCGGUUUAGUAAGUCUGAAGUUAAAGGCAUUGGCUCAACCAAUGUAUGCUUUGGAAACUGUUAGACUUGAGUGCAGAGGGGGAGAGUGGAAUUCCAUGUGUAGCGGUGAAAUGCGUAGAUAUAUGGAGGAACACCGGUGGCGAAAGCGGCUCUCUGGUCUGUCACUGACGCUGAGGCUCGAAAGCGUGGGUAGCGAACAGGAUUAGAUACCCCAGUAGUCCCUGUCUCUUAUACAC
rnacentral:rRNA from 1 species